rnacentral:lncRNA from 1 species
UUGUUUAUAGCAUCGCUGGAUUUGUCAGCCAUGUCAGUUGCAGCCUCAAUGGAUUUGUCCUUAAUGUGAUUCGCAGCCCCUGUGGACUCUUCACCGACAUUGUCUAUGGUGUUGAUUGAUUUUUCAACACCACCAUUUCCAUCCUCAGGUGAUUCUUCAAUUGACUUGUUUGUAGCAUCGCUGGAUUUGUCAGCCAUGUCAGUUGCAGCCUCAAAGGAUCUGUCUUUAAUGUGAUUUGCAGCCUCAGUGGACUCUUCACUGACAUUGUUUAUGGUGUUGAUUGAUUUUUCAACACCACCAUUUCCGUCCUCAGGUGAUUCUUCAAUUGACUUGUUUGCAGCCUCUGUGGGGUCUUCACUAACUUUUUUGACAGUACUAACUUUUAGCGGCCCAAGCUUUGCAUCAAGAUCCUUGACUCUGAGGGUUAGAGAUCUUGCAUCUCUGGCUGCUUCUAGCUGACCAGAAGAUGUCUGUCAUAGGAAAACAAAUGUUUCACCUAUGGUGAGCAAUUGUGAAUCAAUUUAUUUACCAGCAUAUAUUCCAGUGUAUAUAUCAAUAUAUGAUAAUGCAUAAAGAACCAGCUAUCCGGUAUAUAAUUGUUAAAGAGGAAACCCAUGUACCAAAAAGGCAUCCCAAAUGUGUGAGAUAUUUUUGUGUUUG